CCCUAUGGGGUGCAGCAGGCGCGAAACCUUUACAAUGCACGAAAGUGUGAUAAGGGAACCCAAAGUGCUAGUACAUUGUAUUAGCUUUUUUCAAAGGUAAAAACUUUGAAGAAUAAGUGGUGGGCAAGACCGGUGCCAGCAGCCGCGGUAACACCGGCGCCACAAGUGGCAUCCAUAUUUAUUUGGCCUAAAGCGUCCGUAGCUGGUUUGAUAAAUUUCUUGUGAAAUAGUUAAGCUCAACUUAACUACGUGCAGGAAACACUAUCUUACUUGGAACCGGGAGGAGUCAGAGGUAUUCCUUGGGGAGCGGUAAAAUGCUAUAAUCCUUGGAAGACCGCCUGUGGCGAAGGCGUCUGACUAGAACGGAUUCGACAGUGAGGGACGAAAGCCAGGGGAGCGAUCCGGAUUAGAUACCCGAGUAGUCCUGGCUGUAAACUCCGCGAACUAGGUGUUGCAUAUUCUUAGAGGAUAUGCAGUAUCGUAGCGAAGGCGUUAAGUUCGCCGCCUGGGAAGUAUGGUCGCAAGACUGAAACUUAAAGGAAUUGGCGGGGAAGCACUACAAGGGGUGAGGCGUGCGGUUCAAUUGAAUUCAACACCGGAAAUCUCACCAGCAGCGACGGCAGAAUGAAAGUCAGAUUGAACUCUUACUUAACAAGCCGAGAGGUAGUGCAUGGCC
rnacentral:rRNA from 1 species